rnacentral:pre_miRNA from 1 species
GUUGUACUCCCUCCGUCCCAAAAUUCUUGUCUUAGAUUUAUCUAGAUACGGAUGUAUCUAACACUAAAACGUGAAUAGAUACAUCCAUAUCUAGACAAAUCUAAGACAAGAAUUUUGGGACGGAGGGAGUACUAA